GGCAGUCAGACAAUUUUGCUUGGAUCUCUGGGACAGCCACGUAGCCAUACCUUCAGUGCUCCGAGAGGCCUGCGCUCUGACCCAGCCAGAAAGUGACUUAGAGCUGAAAACAGGCUUUGAGUGACUUCUGCUCCAGGGAGGCCCCUCAGUAUAAACACUGAGAAUUUCUGGGAAAUGUACAGAAGACCAGACUGUCGGGAAAGG
rfam:Tupaia chinensis contig117298, whole genome shotgun sequence.